UACGUAGGGGGCAAGCGUUGUCCGGAAUCAUUGGGCGUAAAGAGCGUGUAGGCGGCCCGAUAAGUCCGCCGUGAAAGCCCAGGGCUCAACCCUGGGAUGCCGGUGGAUACUGUCGGGCUAGAAUCCGGAAGAGGCGAGUGGAAUUCCUGGUGUAGCGGUGAAAUGCGCAGAUAUCAGGAGGAACACCGAUGGCGAAGGCAGCUCGCUGGGACGUGACUGACGCUGAGACGCGAAAGCGUGGGGAGCAAACAGG
rnacentral:rRNA from 1 species